rnacentral:rRNA from 1 species
AUUGAACGCUGGCGGCAGGCCUAACACAUGCAAGUCGAGCGGAUGAAGGGAGCUUGCUCCUGGAUUCAGCGGCGGACGGGUGAGUAAUGCCUAGGAAUCUGCCUGGUAGUGGGGGAUAACGUCCGGAAACGGGCGCUAAUACCGCAUACGUCCUGAGGGAGAAAGUGGGGGAUCUUCGGACCUCACGCUAUCAGAUGAGCCUAGGUCGGAUUAGCUAGUUGGUGGGGUAAAGGCCUACCAAGGCGACGAUCCGUAACUGGUCUGAGAGGAUGAUCAGUCACACUGGAACUGAGACACGGUCCAGACUCCUACGGGAGGCAGCAGUGGGGAAUAUUGGACAAUGGGCGAAAGCCUGAUCCAGCCAUGCCGCGUGUGUGAAGAAGGUCUUCGGAUUGUAAAGAACUUUAAGUUGGGAGGAAGGGCAGUAAGUUAAUGCCUUGCUGUUUUGACGUUACCAACAGAAUAAGCACCGGCUAACUUCGUG